GUUUGCCUCCUCCUCCUGUAUGAAUAGUGUGUCUGUGAGCAGGAGGCAGUCAGGAAGCAUUCAGAAAGACUGCCUGCAUUGCUUAGCUGCAUGCUCAUAGCAGAUGGUUGUGUGAGGCAGGAGGGCAGCAGGCCAUGCAUGAACACACAGACAGACAGGGGAGAUAAUGGUGCCCAGCUUCUCUUAGGAACUGAACAGAGUGUAGCUGUUCAUGUUUUCACCACCAGACAGUCUCUGUCUUAGAAAGUAGACAUCACUGAGACUUGUGUGAUUCUGCUCCUAUAACAGCUUCCAAGUUUUGAUCCAUCUCAGCUCGUUCUUUUUUCCAAACAUGGGGUGCUCCUCAUCCAGUGCACAGACUGUUGAUCAAGAGAAGAGACCAGGCACAAAACCUGAGGAGAGCAAUGGAGACUCAGUGGUAGUCAGAAACGGCAUCGUCCCAGAAGAUGCACAAACCAUCGAGGACCAGAUGCAGCUGCCUGUGCAGACUGCCUUACCAGAUGAUCUUCAGCCGGGUACUGAGGAUGAGGCUGUGUUAGUGGCCCUGGAGGCCCAGGAGGAUCUAGGAUCUGGGGAGGACCUUCUAGCUGCUCCUGAGCCACAGCCAGAACCUGCAGUCCAGCCAGAACCUGUUGUUCAACCAGAACCUGUUGUUCAACCAGAACCUGUUGUCCAACCAGAACCUGCUGUUCCUGAAGAGCCAGCUCCAGAAGUUGCAGUUUCUGCUCCAGCAGAAGAGUCUCCAGAACCUGAGGUUGCUGUCCAAGUAGUGGAGGCACUACCCCCAGUGGAGGAAGCAGCCCCUGUAGAAACUGUAGUGACAGAGGUCCCUCCUGAGGUUGAAGCCCCCGUUGAGGCUACAGAGGAGGCCCUUGCUGUUGUUGAAGCUGUGCAAGCUGAGGCCCCGGCUGUUGUUGAGGAGGUGGUUGCUGUACCAGUUGUUGAACCUGCUGUAUCUGAGCCAGCAGAGACUCCAGUGGUUGUGGAAGAGGCUGUUGCUGAGGCUCCAGCUGAAGUGGCUGCACCUGUGGAGGCUCCAGCUGACAGUUCUGCACCAGAGAUGGCCUCAGCAACACCGAGUGAAGCUGUUGUACCAGAUGAAGCUCCAGCACCAAGUGAGGUUUCAGUACCAAGUCAGCCUGCAGCACCAGCCGAACCCUUGUUGCAGAUAAUAAACACAGAUAUUGCUACAGCAACUAUUCCAGAGAUGCCUCCUUUGUCUCAGCCUGCUUCUGAGGAGGCAAAAGAAUCUCCUGCGGUCCCUGCGGAGACUGCUCCACCAGCAGAGGCCAUGCCUGCUUCGGCUUCAGAGGCUGAAUCUGCUGCUGCUGAGGUUCCAACACCCGUGCCUGCUGUUACAGAAACCCCUGCAGAAGUCGCCCCAGCAGAAGCCCCUGUGGUUGAGGCCACCACAGCAGCAUCUGAAGCACCCUCAGCACCAGCCCCUGCUGCUGAUCCAGCUCCUGAACCUUCCCCAGAUGUGGCGUCUGCAAAUGAGGCCUCAGAGAGUGAGAAAGCCAAAAAGGAGGAUUGAGUAGGUAAGAGCACAAUCACAAACCACAAGUUUACCUGAAGCAAACACUGCAGGAUCAGACUCACUUUACUGUUUGAAGGAUGACAUUACUUUGAAAGGCACCCAGUAGAAUUAUAUUUACUGUAUGUAGUGAGGAGGUUUUCCAAAAACUGGGUGUGUAGAACUGAGAAGUGAAUUUUGAUGCUAAAAUGUACACUACCAUUCAAAAGUUUGUAGUCUCUUAGAAAUGUCAUUUUUGAAAGAAAAGCAGUUUUUCAAUGAAGAUAACAUUAAAUGAAUGAUAAAUCCAGUGUAGACAUUGCUAAUGUGGUAAAUGACUAUUGUAGCUGCAAACGGCUGAUUUUUAAUGGAAUAUCUCCAUAGGGGUACAGAGGAACAUUUCCAGCAACCAUCACUCCUGUGUUCUAAUGCUACAUUGUGUUAGCUAAUGGUGCUGAAAGACUCAUUGAUGAUUAGAAAACCCUUGUGCAGUUAUGUUAGCUCAUGGAUAAAAGUGGGAGUUUUCAUGGAAAACAUGGAAUUUCCUGGGUGACCCCAAACUUUUGAAAGAGAAGAGAUUCUCCAAAGAAUCUAAACCCCCAAAGCAACAAGAUGAAGAUGAAGAAAAAGAAAAACACUAAAUUCUCAGUUUUUUCUCAUCAACACUCACCAAACUGUACAGCACGUACGUUAAUAUUCACUGUGCCUUAAUAACUUUUCAUUUGGGAAAGAUCAGGAUUUUUCCUACAUUGUUGUACAUAAACUUCUGUGGAGGUGGAAGAGGAGGAGCUUUUCUAUGGGACAUCAAGUGCCUGGAGCCACAUUCUACACGUGUAGGCCUUUAUACCAAAAGUGCUUUGAAAACACGUAGGACAGGUAACGUGUGACAAGAGCGUGCAAUACUCUGUGAAAUCUGUGAACUGUGGUUGUAGAGACUGUUAACUCUUUAGAGACUCUAGUGUGCUGAAAUGUAGGGAAGGAUGUUCACUUUGACUUUUUUUCAAAAUAGCUGCGUCUGAGGAAAACAAGCCAAACAUGACUGUGAAUAAAAAUAUGCAAAAACAUGACAGGAACAUACAGCUGGAAGGCUGAAUAACACACCGGCUAGGCGCACACUGCUAGCUUUUUAUGUUUUCCUAUCUACACUACUGUUCAAAGCUUGGGGUCACUUAGCAAUGUCCUUAUUUUUUGAAAUAAAAGCAGUUUCUUUUCAAUGUAGAUAACAUUAAAUGAAUGAUAAAUCCAGUGUGGACAUUGUUAAUGUGGUAAAUGACUAUUGUAGCUGCAAACGGCUGAUUUUUAAUGGAAUAUCUCCAUAGGGGUACAGAGGAACAUUUCCAGCAACCAUCACUCCUGUGUUCUAAUGCUACAUUGUGUUAGCUAAUGGUGCUGAAAGGCUCAUUGAUGAUUAGAAAACCCUUGUGCAGUUAUGGUAGCACAUGGAUAAAAGUCUGAGAAUUCAUGAAAAACAUGGAAUUGUCUGGGUGACCCCAAACUUUUGAACAGUAGUGUAUGAGAUGAUUUCUAAAGAUCAUGUUUUCACACAUGGAAUUUUAAGUUAAAAUGUAAAUUCUGUGAUAAAACCACAUUGUUGUUUGUUGUUUGCACAUAAUUUAAUUACAGUCCUUCUAAUAAGGCUCCUUUGAUUAACAGGAAUGACAGUACUAAGUGAUGAGUAACGCAGUGAAAUACUUUCAAAAAAGUGGAUGUCAUUCUUCUUGGUUUCCAUGUGAAAAAAAGCAACAUAAACAUUAUUUUGUGUGAAACAGAAAACCAUGGAUUAUCACAUGCAUAUGCAAAAGAUUAAUGCCGACAAGAUAAAUCUUUGCCAGGUUGAGGAUACAGAUGAUCCAAGUACCGAUAUACCAUCUUGCUGUUCCUUGAAGUCAUUUUGUACAGAUGUACCGUAGCUGGCACGAGUUGCAAAAAAAUGUCUUCCUGAAAAUUAAGGUCUUCCCAACUGUAGAUAUAAAGCUAUGGUGGGUUAGCGCUGAUGUCAUUUGCUUGUAGGUUUUAGUUUAAGUGCAUUACAAACGUGUAGCACAGUCAGCGAUUAGUUUUACAUGAUGUGUUGAAAAUUUAAUGGACUUAGAAAAUGAUGUUAAUUGCAUAAGAUGUGGUAGACGCCGUGGGAACAAAUUUGUUUUGCUUUCCUUUUUUCACCUCUGUAAUAUAUUCAUUCUCUGAACUUUGUCUAUGAUUCUGUUAACCUUUUAGUGUACAGAAUAAAGUUUUACUCACUAA